GUCAGUUUGGCCGAGUGGUCUAAGGCGUCAGACUUGAAAUCUGAUGGGGUCUCCCCGCGCAGGUUCAAACCCUGCAGCUGACG
rnacentral:tRNA from 1 species